GGGGCAACCUGGUGGCGAGUGGCGAACGGGUGAGUAAUAUAUCGGAACGUGCCCAAUCGUGGGGGAUAACGUAGCGAAAGUUACGCUAAUACCGCAUACGAUCUACGGAUGAAAGCGGGGGAUCGCAAGACCUCGCGCGAAUGGAGCGGCCGAUAUCAGAUUAGGUAGUUGGUGGGGUAAAGGCUCACCAAGCCAACGAUCUGUAGCUGGUCUGAGAGGACGACCAGCCACACUGGAACUGAGACACGGUCCAGACUCCUACGGGAGGCAGCAGUGGGGAAUUUUGGACAAUGGGCGCAAGCCUGAUCCAGCCAUUCCGCGUGCAGGAUGAAGGCCUUCGGGUUGUAAACUGCUUUUGUACGGAACGAAACGGCCUGUCCUAAUACGAUGGGCUAAUGACGGUACCGUAAGAAUAAGCACCGGCUAACUACGUGCCAGCAGCCGCGGUAAUACGUAGGGUGCAAGCGUUAAUCGGAAUUACUGGGCGUAAAGCGUGCGCAGGCGGUUAUAUAAGACAGAUGUGAAAUCCCCGGGCUCAACCUGGGAACUGCAUUUGUGACUGUAUAGCUAGAGUACGGCAGAGGGGGAUGGAGUUCCGCGUGUAGCAGUGAAAUGCGUAGAUAUGCGGAGGAACACCGAUGGCGAAGGCAAUCCCCUGGGCCUGUACUGACGCUCAUGCACGAAAGCGUGGAGCAAACAGGAUUAGAUACCCUGGUAGUCCACGCCCUAAACGAUGUCAGCUGGUUGUUGGGUCUUCACUGACUCAGUAACGAAGCUAACGCGUGAAGUUGACCGCCUGGGGAGUACGGCCGC
rnacentral:rRNA from 1 species